CUGCCAUCCAGGUGGAGCGGAGCAGCCAACCUGACAUGCAAACGCACCUUCUCAGAACAUUCAUGACACCGCGAUAUAUCUAUAUGACACUGUGACCCCCAUGCACCUAUUGUUUACCUUUGUUUGUUUAUUACUUUUAACUUCCAGCAGUGCAGCACUUCCUGAAUUAAGGCAGCAGGGGAUUGUGGGGUUAUUUAUGGGAUAAUAAUAGUAACAGUUGAG